UGAAAUUAGGACAACUUAACUGACUAAACACAACAUAUCAUCAUAAUUUUCAUGCCAAAAUGAACUCCAUAUCAAUACACAUUAGUAUCAUGCCAAAAUAAAAGGGUUUCUCUUGUCUCUAAACCCGAACAUGAGCAACAGUUCAUUCAUGAACUAUAAUGCAGCAGAAGUUCAUUCAUGAACUAACACUAGAUCGGAUCUACAAGUGAAAAUCAAAGGGAUAGGAAAUCAUGAAGAUCAUUCGGCCAUCCUUCAUCAUAC
rnacentral:lncRNA from 1 species